UACGUAGGGUGCAAGCGUUGUCCGGAAUUAUUGGGCGUAAAGAGCUCGUAGGCGGUCUGUCGCGUCGGCUGUGAAAACUCGGGGCUCAACCCCGAGCUUGCAGUCGAUACGGGCAGGCUAGAGUUCGGCAGGGGAGACUGGAAUUCCGGGUGUAGCGGUGGAAUGCGCAGAUAUCAGGAGGAACACCGAUGGCGAAGGCAGGUCACUGGGCCGCAACUGACGCUGAGGAGCGAAAGCAUGGGGAGCGAACAGG
rnacentral:rRNA from 1 species